CUCUUUGCGACCCCAUGGAUUGUAGCCCACCAGGCUCCUCUGUCCAUGGAGUUCUCCAGGCAAGAAUACUAGAGUGGGUUGCCAUUGCCUUCUCCAUGGGAUCUUCCCAACUCAGGGAUCGAAGUCAGGUCUCCUGCAAGGAAGGUGGAUUCUUUACCAUCUGAGCCA